rnacentral:tRNA from 1 species
ACUAUUUUGGCAGAUAAGUGCAAUGGAUUUAGAAUCUAUAAAUGUAAUUUGAAUUACAGAUAGUA